UACGAAGGGGGCUAGCGUUGUUCGGAAUUACUGGGCGUAAAGCGCGCGUAGGCGGCGACCUUUGUCAGAGGUGAAAUCCCGAGGCUCAACUUCGGAAUUGCCUUUGAAACGGGGUUGCUUGAGUCCGAGAGAGGGUGGCGGAAUUCCUAGUGUAGAGGUGAAAUUCGUAGAUAUUAGGAAGAACACCGGUGGCGAAGGCGGCCACCUGGCUCGGUACUGACGCUCAGGCGCGAAAGCGUGGGGAGCAAACAGG
rnacentral:rRNA from 1 species